rnacentral:rRNA from 1 species
GAUGAACGCUGGCGGCGUGCCUAAUACAUGCAAGUCGAGCGAACAGACGAGGAGCUUGCUCCUCUGACGUUAGCGGCGGACGGGUGAGUAACACGUGGAUAACCUACCUAUAAGACUGGGAUAACUUCGGGAAACCGGAGCUAAUACCGGAUAAUAUAUUGAACCGCAUGGUUCAAUAGUGAAAGACGGUUUUGCUGUCACUUAUAGAUGGUUCCGCGCCGCAUUAGCUAGUUGGUAAGGUAACGGCUUACCAAGGCAACGAUGCGUAGCCGACCUGAGAGGGUGAUCGGCCACACUGGAACUGAGACACGGUCCAGACUCCUACGGGAGGCAGCAGUAGGGAAUCUUCCGCAAUGGGCGCAAGCCUGACGGAGCAACGCCGCGUGAGUGAUGAAGGUCUUCGGAUCGUAAAACUCUGUUAUUAGGGAAGAACAAAUGUGUAAGUAACUAUGCACGUCUUGACGGUACCUAAUCAGAAAGCCACGGCUAACUACGUG